AUCCUACGGGAGGCAGCAGUGGGGAAUAUUGCACAAUGGGGGAAACCCUGAUGCAGCGACGCCGCGUGAGUGAAGAAGUAAUUCGUUACGUAAAGCUCUAUCAGCAGGGAAGAAAAUGACGGUACCUGAGUAAGAAGCCCCGGCUAACUACGUGCCAGCAGCCGCGGUAAUACGUAGGGGGCAAGCGUUAUCCGGAUUUACUGGGUGUAAAGGGAGCGUAGACGUUGCGCCAAGUCUGGAGUGAAAUGC
rnacentral:rRNA from 1 species